rnacentral:rRNA from 1 species
UCUAACAUGUACGCGAGUCAUUGGGAUUUGAAAACCUAAAGGCGUAAUGAACGUGAAGGUCGGCCCUAGCGUCGACCGAGGGAGGAUGGCUUCGCGUUACGAUGCGAGCCCGCACUCCCGGGGCAUCUCGUGCUCAUUGCGAGCAGCGGUGCACCCAGAGCGUACACGUUGGGACCCGAAAGAUGGUGAACUAUGCCUGGUCAGGACGAAGUCAGGGGAAACCCUGAUGGAGGUCCGCAGCGAUUCUGACGUGCAAAUCGAUCGUCGGAACUGGGUAUAGGGGCGAAAGACUAAUCGAACCAUCUAGUAGCUGGUUCCCUCCGAAGUUUCCCUUAGGAUAGCUGGCACUCGCUUGAGCGAGUCUCAUCUGGUAAAGCGAAUGAUUAGAGGCCUUGGGGCCGAAACGACCUCAACCUAUUCUCAAACUUUAAAUGGGUGAGAUCUCUGGCUUGCUUGAACGUUGAAGCCAGAGAUUUUUUUUGCAAUGGAUCAGAGUGCCAAGUGGGCCAAUUUUGG